GGACCUCUUCUCCUCCUCACGUCGGCUACGCUCCAGCAGCUCCUCCGUUAAAUCUCCAAUCUCCAGUAAUCACGUAUCAUCUCCACCUCCUCCGAAAACGCGCGACCUUGUCCUCAAGGUUGAUUGUUGGAAACGCCACCUUGACAUCGUCCACUUCUUCCCAAGAAGAAUCCUCUGCUAGAGCUCCGUUCCACAACAACAGCACUUGUUUGAUCUCGCGUUUUCCCUUCCAGACCGUCCUGUGAUCUAAAAUAGCAGUAGGGAAUACUAAUGGUUGAUUAUUUACUGCAAUGAGUGGUUUUGAUUUUGCAGGUUGCUCUGGAAUUGGGCCACAGAAUUUUUUAAGCUUGGACACAUGG
rnacentral:lncRNA from 1 species